AAGAUCUCUUUAAAUAGAGCAUGGAGCUCAAAGUUUCCAGGAUAGAAAAUUAUAGUAUGGACAGUUCCAGGAGGAAAGAUUUCAGAAAAGGGGCAGAGAGAGUGUGCCAGGCAGAGGCACAAACAUCAUUUAGAAGCCUUGUGGGUAUCAGAGAAAUUAGAAAUUUCUGAGCCUACCAUGAUCUGUGUGUGAGAAGUAAGUCUGCAAACAUCAACCAGGCCAUGCAUAAGUGAAGAGGAAGGUGUACUGGUCUGGUACAGAGACUGAAUGAAUGAUAACAAAUGGAUAGGCAGAGUUGUUCAAGUAUCUCUGAAGCACUUUCAAAAACCAGAAAAAGGCCUCCAGGAUGGUGGGUAACUGUAGGUAUUUACAGACAGACACCGUAAAAGACCUUACCUGAAAGGACUAUGUUAUGUACUAGCAGAGGGAGAGUCCAAGUUCAUAGGACCUUCAAAUCUUGGUCAAAGCUGAUGGGUGGUCUUUUGGAAAGAACACUGGAUCUGGAAGCAAAGGACCUAGGUAUGGCAUUUGGACAUGUUCUUUGCUUCUGUGACUUUGGAAUUCACUGAGGAGUGAUCCAUACUGGUGGAUACCAGCACCAAUAAUAGAAUGGAAGGAGGUGAAGGUGAGGAGGGAAUCCUUGCUAUCCAAAGAUUGAAACCAAACUGAGUCCUGAGCCUACUGUGAUCUCAUCUAGUCCAAAGUCUCAUUCAGUACAGGAAUCCCUAAUGCAAUGACCCUUGGAGAUAAGCAUCUAGCCCUUUUCUGGACACUUCUAGUUCUGUUGUUGGAUCAUGGUAGAAUAUGCUUUUUCACCUAACAUACUUGGAUCACUGUUAUUUUUUUUUAGUUUUUAAACAUUAUUUUAUUUGGUCAUUUUCAUACAUUAUUCAUUGGAAACAGAGAUCAUUUUCUUUUCCUCUCCACCCUCUCCAGCCACCCCUCCCCUAGCCGACUCACGAUUCCACUGGGUAUCACAUGUGUCCUCAAUCCGAACUCAUUUCCAUGUUAUUGGUUUUUGCAUUAGGGUGUUCAUUUCGAGUCUCUCCUCAAUCAUUCCCCCUCCACCCCUGUAGUCAAGCAGUUACCUUUCCUUGGUGUUUUUACUCCCACAGUUUGUCCUCUGCUUGUGGAUAGUGUUUUUUCUCAUAGAUCCCUGAAGAUUGUUCAGGGACAUUGCAUUGCCAUUAAUGGAAAAGUCCAUUACCUUCGAUUGUACCACAAUGUAUCAGUCUCUGUGUACAAUGUUCUCCUGGUUCUUCUCCUUUCACUCUGCAUCACUUCCUGGAAGUUGUUCCAGUCUCCAUGGAAUUCCUCCACUUUAUUAUUUCUUUUAGCACAAUAGUAUUCCAUCAUCAACAUAUACCACAAUUUGUUCAACCAUUCCCCAAUUGAAGGGCAUCCCCUCACUUUCCAAUUUUUUGCCACCACAAAGAGUACAGCUUUGAAUAUUCUUGAACAAGUCUUUUUCCUUAUUACCUCUUUGGGUACAAACCCAGCAGUGCUAUGGCUGGAUUAAAGGGCAGACAGUCUUUUAUCACCCUUUGGGCACAGUUCCAAAUUGCCCAUCAGAAUGGUUGGAUCAAUUCACAACUCCACCAGCAAUGAAUUAGUGUCCCCGCUUUGCAACAUCCCCUCUAGCAUUCAUUACUUUCCUUUGCUGUCAUGUUGGCCAAUCUGCUAGAUGUGAGGUGAUACCUCAGAGUUGUUUUGAUUUGCAUCUCUCUGAUUAUAAGAGAUUUAGAACACUUCUUCAUGUGCUUAUUAAUAGUUUUGAUUUCUUUAACUGAAAACUGCCUAUUCAUGUCCC